rnacentral:rRNA from 1 species
AAAGAUUAAGCCAUGCAUGUCUAAGUAUAAAUAACUUUAUAUUGUGAAACUGCGAAUGGCUCAUUAAAUCAGUUAUGAUCUACGUGACAAAUUCUUUACUACUUGGAUAACCGUGGUAAUUCUAGAGCUAAUACAUGCAAAAAAGCCCUGACUUACGAAGGGGUGCACUUAUUAGAUAAAACCAACGCGGGGUAAAACCUGUUUCUUGGUGAAUCAUAAUAAUUAAGCGGAUCGCAUGGCCUUGUGCCGGCGACGGUCCACUCGAUUUUCUGCCCUAUCAUGGUUGAGAUUGUAAGAUAGAGGCUUACAAUGCCUA